CGAUGGUGAUCGGUCAUGGUAUCCAUAGCAUUGCUUCUUUUUCGGCCAAAUCCUGAUUUCGUUUUCCUUCUCCCGGUCGUCGAGCCUGAUCGACUCGACUCUUUUCCCUGCCCCCCGGCCUCUCACUUCCUUUCGUUCUUCUUCUGUAUUGUCGCUUGAAUGAAGACACCUGAUCGGCCCGACUUUACCGAAUGUCCACCACCGGCCCUUCUCCUUUCCGGGUCUGGUUUUUUCGCGUCGUUUCAGUCGUCGUGGUCGACGGGGAAGAAAGAAAUUAAUGAAUGUUCUUUUGGGAAAAUGUAGAAUAAUACACCUACCGAGACGAAAGCCAAAGGUGAGUCUCGUAGGUGGACGUAUCGAACCGAAAUAAGAUCUCAGAUUGACAUCUUGAUACACUAAUUUACCAUAAUAAUAA
rnacentral:misc_RNA from 1 species